rnacentral:rRNA from 1 species
UACGAGGGGGGCAAGCGUUGUUCGGAAUUAUUGGGCGUAAAGGGUGCGUAGGCGGUUUGGUAAGUCUUAUGUGAAAUCUACAGGCUCAACUUGUAGUCUGCAUGAGAAACUGCCGGGCUUGAGUAUGGGAGAGGUGAGUGGAAUUCCUGGUGCAGCGGUGAAAUGCGUAGAUAUCAGGAGGAACACCUGUGGCGAAAGCGGCUCACUGGACCAUAACUGACGCUGAUGCACGAAAGCGUGGGGAGCAAACAGG